rnacentral:rRNA from 1 species
CCUACGGGUGGCUGCAGUGGGGAAUCUUGCGCAAUGGGCGAAAGCCUGACGCAGCGACGCCGCGUGAGUGAUGAAGGCCUUCGGGUUGUAAAGCUCUGUGGGGAGAGAAGAAUAAGUCGUAGUGAAUAUCUACGAUGAUGACGGUAUCUCCUUAGCAAGCACCGGCUAACUCUGUGCCAGCAGCCGCGGUAAGACAGAGGGUGCAUACGUUGUUCGGAAUUACUGGUAGUAGGGCGGGUAUAUCAGGUGAGAAAUCCCACGGCUCAACCAUGGAAGUGCACUUGAUACUGCUUCGCUUGAGUACUGGAGAGGUUGGUGGAAUUCUUGGUGUAGAGGUGAAAUUCGUAGAUAUCAAGAGGAACACCGGUGGCGAAGGCGGCCAACUGGACAGAUACUGACGCUGAGACACGAAAGCGCGGGGAGCAAACAGGAUUAGAUACCCCUGUAGUC